rnacentral:rRNA from 1 species
UGAACGCUGGCGGUAUGCUUAACACAUGCAAGUCGAACGGAAACGAUACUAGCUUGCUAGUAGGCGUCGAGUGGCGGACGGGUGAGUAACGCGUAGGAAUCUGCCUGAUAGUGGGGGAUAGCCCGAAGAAAUUCGGAUUAAUACCGCAUAAUCUAUUCGUAGUAAAGUGGGGGACUUUCGAGCCUCACGCUAUCAGAUGAGCCUGCGUAAGAUUAGCUAGUUGGUAGGGUAAAAGCCUACCAAGGCGACGAUCUUUAGCUGGUCUGAGAGGAUGAUCAGCCACAUCGGGACUGAGACACGGCCCGAACUCCUACGGGAGGCAGCAGUGGGGAAUAUUGGACAAUGGGGGCAACCCUGAUCCAGCAAUACCGCGUGUGUGAAGAAGGCCUGAGGGUUGUAAAGCACUUUCAAUUGUGAAGAAAAGUUAGCGGUUAAUAACCGUUAGCCUUGACGUUAACUUUAGAAGAAGCACCGGCUAACUCCGUGCCAGCAGCCGCGGUAAUACGGAGGGUGCAAGCGUUAAUCGGAAUUACUGGGCGUAAAGCGUGCGUAGGCGGUUUAUUAAGUCAGAUGUGAAAGCCCCGGGCUUAACCUGGGAACUGCAUUUGAAACUGGUCAACUAGAGUAUGGUAGAGGAAAGUGGAAUUUCUGGUGUAGCGGUGAAAUGCGUAGAUAUCAGAAGGAACAUCAAUGGCGAAGGCAGCUUUCUGGACCAAUACUGACGCUGAGGUACGAAAGCGUGGGUAGCAAACAGGAUUAGAUACCCUGGUAGUCCACGCCGUAAACGAUGAUAACUAGCCGUUGGGGGGAUUUACCCUUUAGUGGCGAAGCUAACGCGUUAAGUUAUCCGCCUGGGGAGUACGGCCGCAAGGUUAAAACUCAAAGGAAUUGACGGGGACCCGCACAAGCGGUGGAGCAUGUGGUUUAAUUCGAUGCAACGCGAAGAACCUUACCUGGUCUUGACAUCCUGCGAACUUUCUAGAAAUAGAUUGGUGCCUUCGGGAACGCAGUGACAGGUGCUGCAUGGCUGUCGUCAGCUCGUGUCGUGAGAUGUUGGGUUAAGUCCCGUAACGAGCGCAACCCCUAUCCUUAUUUGCCAGCACAUCAUGGUGGGAACUAUAAGGAGACUGCCGGUGAUAAACCGGAGGAAGGCGGGGACGACGUCAAGUCAUCAUGGCCCUUACGACCAGGGCUACACACGUGCUACAAUGGGAAGGACAAAGAGCCGCGAAGCCGCGAGGUGUAGCUAAUCUCAUAAACCUUUUCGUAGUCCGGAUUGGAGUCUGCAACUCGACUCCAUGAAGUCGGAAUCGCUAGUAAUCGUAGAUCAGAAUGCUACGGUGAAUACGUUCCCGGGUCUUGUACUCACCGC